rnacentral:tRNA from 1 species
CCCUGGGCCAUUAGCUCAGGUGGUUAGAGCGCACCCCUGAUAAGGGUGAGGUCCCUGGUUCAAGUCCAGGAUGGCCCAU